CGGGCAGAGGUUUUAGGGGUGCGCAGGAGUCAAGUGGUGGUUCAGUGGGGACGGAAUGAUUAACAAAGGCGUCCGAAGAAAUCGUUGUUGGAAGGUGACCAAGGUGGAAAGAGACGUUGCUUUGGCCCUGCAAAGUCUGUCACACUAAGAUGAGAAAUGUCCUUUCUUCCUGAAGGUGUCUGAUGUGUAAAAAUAUGAUAUACUUUGUGCUGUUUCCUCCCUUCCCUUUUGCAUAUUAUUCUGAAACAACAUUAACUAGUUACUUUGCGUCAUUGAAGAACUCACUUUGAGGCCAAGCGUG
rnacentral:lncRNA from 10 species